rnacentral:rRNA from 1 species
AUUGAACGCUGGCGGCAUGCCUUACACAUGCAAGUCGGACGAGUGGCGAACGGGUGAGUAACGCAUCGGAACCUUCCGGGUAGGGGGGGAUAACUGUCCGAAAGGACAGCUAAUACCGCAUACUAUUAGAUCUGCCGAUGUGUGAUUAGCUGGUUGGCGGGGUAAAGGCCCACCAAGGCGACGAUCCGUAGCGGGUCUGAGAGGAUGAUCAGCCACACUGGGACUGAGACACGGCCCAGACUCCUACGGGAGGCAGCAGUGGGGAAUUUUGGACAAUGGGCGCAAGCCUGAUACAGCCAUGCCGCGUGUCUGAAGAAGGCCUUCGGGUUGUAAAGGACUUUUGUCAGGGAAGCGGUACCUGAAGAAUAAGCACCGGCUAACUACGUGCCAGCAGCCGCGGUAAUAC